rnacentral:rRNA from 1 species
GAUGAACGCUGGCGGCGUGCCUAAUACAUGCAAGUCGAGCGAACGGACGAGAAGCUUGCUUCUCUGAUGUUAGCGGCGGACGGGUGAGUAACACGUGGAUAACCUACCUAUAAGACUGGGAUAACUUCGGGAAACCGUAGCUAAUACCGGAUAAUAUUUUGAACCGCAUGGUUCAAAAGUGAAAGACGGUCUUGCUGUCACUUAUAGAUGGAUCCGCGCUGCAUUAGCUAGUUGGUAAGGUAACGGCUUACCAAGGCAACGAUGCAUAGCCGACCUGAGAGGGUGAUGGGCCACACGGGAACAGAGACACGGUCCAGACUCCUACGGGAGGCAGCAGUAGGAAAUCUUCCGCAAUGGGCGAAGGCCUGACGGAGCAACGCCGCGUGAGUAAUGAAGGUCUUCGGAUCGUAAAACUCUGUUAUUAGGGAGGAACAUAUGUGUAAGUAACUGUGAACAUCUUGACGGUACCUAAUCAGAAAGCCACGGCUAACUACGU